GACGAACGCUGGCGGCGUGCUUAACACAUGCAAGUCGAACGGUGAAGGGACCAGCUUGCUGGUUCUGGCUGAGUGGCGAACGGGUGAGUAACACGUGAGUAACCUGCCCCCUUCUUCUGGAUAACCGCAUGAAAGUGUGGCUAAUACGGGAUAUUCUGGGUCUGUCGCAUGGCGGGCCCGGGAAAGAUAUUGCUUCGGUGGGGGAUGGGCUCGCGGCCUAUCAGCUUGUUGGUGGGGUGAUGGCCUACCAAGGCGGUGACGGGUAGCCGGCCUGAGAGGGUGGACGGUCACACUGGGACUGAGACACGGCCCAGACUCCUACGGGAGGCAGCAGUGGGGAAUAGUGCACAAUGGGCGCAAGCCUGAUGCAGCGACGCCGCGUGAGGGAUGGAGGCCUUCGGGGUGUAAACCUCUUUCGCCAGUGAAGCAGGCCUGCUCCUUGUGGGUGGGUUGACGGUAGCUGGAUAAGAAGCGCCGGCUAACUACGUG
rnacentral:rRNA from 1 species